rnacentral:rRNA from 1 species
UACGGAGGAUGCGAGCGUUAUCCGGAUUUAUUGGGCUUAAAGGGUGCGUAGGCGGGCUUUUAAGUCAGCGGUAAAAAUUCGGGGCUCAACCCCGUCCGGCCGUUGAAACUGGGGGCCUUGAGUGGGCGAGAAGAAGGCGGAAUGCGUGGUGUAGCGGUGAAAUGCAUAGAUAUCACGCAGAACCCCGAUUGCGAAGGCAGCCUUCCGGCGCCCUACUGACGCUGAGGCACGAAAGUGCGGGGAUCGAACAGG